CCUACGGGUGGCUGCAGUGAGGAAUAUUGGUCAAUGGGCGCGAGCCUGAACCAGCCAAGUCGCGUGAGGGAAGACUGUCCUAUGGAUUGUAAACUUCUUUUGUCGGGGAGCAAAAGACGCUAUGCGUAGCGUUCCGCGAGUACCCGAAGAAAAAGCAUCGGCUAACUCCGUGCCAGCAGCCGCGGUAAUACGGAGGAUGCGAGCGUUAUCCGGAUUUAUUGGGUUUAAAGGGUGCGCAGGCGGAAGAUCAAGUCAGCGGUAAAAUUGAGAGGCUCAACCUCUUCGAGCCGUUGAAACUGGUUUUCUUGAGUAAGUGAGAGGUAUGCGGAAUGCGUGGUGUAGCGGUGAAAUGCAUAGAUAUCACGCAGAACUCCGAUUGCGAAGGCAGCAUACCGGCGCGUAACUGACGCUGAUGCACGAAAGUGUGGGUAUCGAACAGGAGUAGAUACCCCUGUAGUC
rnacentral:rRNA from 1 species